GCUGGCGGCGUGCUUAACACAUGCAAGUCGAACGGGAACCUCUGGAUUCGUCUGGAGGGGAGAGUGGCGAACGGGUGAGUAACACGUAGGUGACCUGCCUCGAAGACGAGGAUAACCACUGGAAACGGUGGCUAAUACUCGAUGGUCUCGAUAAUUCGGUUUAUCGAGUAAAGGCUCUGGCGCUUUGAGAGGGACCUGCGGCCCAUCAGCUAGUUGGUAGGGUAACGGCCUACCAAGGCGAAGACGGGUAGGGGGCGUGAGAGCGUGACCCCCCACACUGGCACUGGGACACGGGCCAGACUCCUACGGGAGGCAGCAGUGAGGAAUAUUGCGCAAUGAGCGAAAGCUAGACGCAGCAACGCCGCGUGGGUGAUGAAGGCCUUCGGGUCGUAAAACCCUUUUCUGGGGGAAGAGUAAGGACGGUACCCCAGGAAUAAGCCUCGGCUAACUAUGUGCCAGCAGCCGCGGUAAUACAUAGGAGGCAAGCGUUAUCCGGAUUUACUGGGCGUAAAGAGCGUUGAGGCGGCUUCGUAAGUUGGACGUGAAAGCUCCCGGCUUAACUGGGAGAGGCCGUUCAAUACUGCGGGGCUUGAGGGCAGCAGAGGGGGGUGGAAUUUCCGGUGUAGUGGUGAAAUGCGUAGAUAUCGGAAGGAACACCAGUGGCGAAGGCGGCCCCCUGGGCUGCUCCUGACGCUGAAGGCGAAAGCUAGGGGAGCGAACGGGAUUAGAAACCCCGGUAGUCCUAGCCGUAAACGAUGGAUACUAGGUGUAGGAGGUUACAAUUCCUUCUGUGCCGGAGCUAACGCGUUAAGUAUCCCGCCUGGGGA
rnacentral:rRNA from 1 species